ensembl:lncRNA
UUGUUCUUUCUUUCAUUCUUCAAAGUUCAUUUUCGUCUGAAUGUACAAUAUCACAAUGUACAAACCAUUAUGAUAACGUGACAUAAGCAAGUGUUGCAGCCUCUUUCUGUUUUAAAUAAAUUAGUAGCAUUCACGGGAUGGAGCCCUUCCAAGGAUUUUCCACACAAACCAGGAACUCCAUUGUCUUCUAUCUAAAAACACUCAUUGGUCACCCAAAUAAAAAGAAUACGCCUUAGCAAGCAGGGUCUGCUAUUUAUAUCAUGUCUAUCUUGUCUAUCUCUCUCUCUCACUCUCUCCUAAGUUCUCUAUAAGUCUGACUUCCUUGGCAACCUACUCUUUGUUUUUAGUGGCACUCGUUCAAGUUGAGAGUGUGAGGAGCUUACGUCCUGAAGGUUAUCAGACAUAGAGACGGCUGUUGCCCAACAAAGAAACUCCCAGUUUAGAGAUGUUCAGAGUUCCUGAGGAACAGGAGCUACAAUGCAGUGCUGCCAUGAGUAUGUCAGCAGGUUGUCUGGUAUUGCUGUAUCAUCACAGUUAGGUGACCUUCACAUUGCAUUACUGGUUGAUAGCCCCAUUGACCCUAAGUUCCUUUGAGGACUCUUCCUGUUACGGUUAGUUAGAUCUUCCUCUGCUGUGUAUAAAUAAACCCUUCAGUCUCACCCA